GAGUUUGAUCAUGGCUCAGAACGAACGCUGGCGGCAUGCCUAACACAUGCAAGUCGAACGAAUCCCUUCGGGGAUAGUGGCGCACGGGUGCGUAACGCGUGGGAAUCUGCCCUUGGGUUCGGAAUAACAGUGAGAAAUUGCUGCUAAUACCGGAUGAUGUCUUCGGACCAAAGAUUUAUUGCCCAGGGAUGAGCCCGCGUAGGAUUAGCUAGUUGGUGGGGUAAUGGCCUACCAAGGCGACGAUCCUUAGCUGGUCUGAGAGGAUGAUCAGCCACACUGGGACUGAGACACGGCCCAGACUCCUACGGGAGGCAGCAGUGGGGAAUAUUGGACAAUGGGCGAAAGCCUGAUCCAGCAAUGCCGCGUGAGUGAUGAAGGCCUUAGGGUUGUAAAGCUCUUUUACCCGGGAUGAUAAUGACAGUACCGGGAGAAUAAGCUCCGGCUAACUCCGUGCCAGCCGCCGCAGU
rnacentral:rRNA from 1 species